rnacentral:rRNA from 1 species
UACGUAGGGGGCUAGCGUUGUCCGGAUUUAUUGGGCGUAAAGAGCGUGUAGGCGGCCAGGUAGGUCUGCUGUGAAAACUCGAGGCUCAACCUCGAGACGUCGGCGGAAACCAUCUGGCUAGAGUCCGGAAGAGGAGAGUGGAAUUCCACGUGUAGCGGUGAAAUGCGUAGAGAUGUGGAGGAACACCAGUGGCGAAGGCGACUCUCUGGUCUGUAACUGACGCUGAGGCGCGAAAGCGUGGGGAGCAAACAGG